AAAAAUAACGAGGACUGAGUCUCGACAAAAUCGAAUCAAGGAUGAGAGCUUGGAAACGUUAGCGUUCAACAGUAAACCCGAUCGAGGCUACGUAAGCAGGUCUUGACCUUAUUGAGUAUGACAGCGAGUUUUAACCGCAGCCAGCCGGCCAAUAGGAUGAUCGGUGUUAUAUCUAGAUAAAAAAAAAUUGCUUUACGCAGUUCACAGUUUCUACAUUUCGCAUUUCUAUCGAUUGCAGUCGAUAUGGCCGAAGAAAGAAAAGAAAGUGCAUUUUUCUUCGAAUUACGUAAAUUCGAGAAAUUUCAUCGAUUUUAUUUGGCACAACUGAAAGAAUUUUGUUCGUUUCAUUUUAAAUAAAUUUUUUCUGGUUAAAAGCAAUUCUUUAUAAAUUAAGUCUUUUUAAAUUGUAGAUUUUAUAUAUAUAUAUAUAUAUAUAUAUAUAUAUAUAUAUAUAUAUAUCAAAAAAUAAUCGCGUUGAUGUUCGCAUAUUUAGAAAUACGUAAUUCGUUCUCUUCUAUUGAGAUUAUGCCGACUUUCUUUCUAAAUGGAACGCUGACAAGAAGAGAUGGCCAUGCAGCAUCUCUCCGAUACAAGCUUGCUCGUUCUACUCCAUCGAACGGGACGGCAAAGGUCAGGAGACCGGCUUGGGCGCUGGAUUCCAAAGGUACUUUCACACGUGACUAGGAAAUUACCUAUUCGCAUUGGCCGUUUGCGACUUCUUGAUUUAUGUCGUGCGCGAUCACGAUUACGUCUUUCUGCAUCUUCAAAGAGAUUUAUUAGGUCAACAAAUCAAAUGAUUAUAAAAAAGUUUGAAUCGAAAAAAUUUAUUUCUAUUGCAUUUCAAUAUGUAUGAGAGAAGGAGAAAACAAAGAAAAAUAGAUAAAAGAGAAUAGAAUGAACUCGGAUUCAAUCUAGUCGCACAUGAUCAGAAAUAAAUAUGAUUAUUCCUUUCAGCGCGUCACGUGUUUAGAUGAUUUUAUCGAGAGGAAUCUUCGCUGUAGGACAAGGCAUAAAAGUGAUUUAAUGAUCAUACAAGAAUUAGAAAUUUUGUAGAAAAACAUUUUCGAGUAUAUCGGUUUACUGUUCGAUUUACGUUAUGACUUGGAUGCUUCUUAGAAAAUGCAAGAAGCAUUAGAUAGACGAAAAUAAAGGGGAAGAAAAGAUACGAGCGUAAUUAUAUCUCGGCGAUUAAUAUCUCUUCCGUGGAGCAUCUCUAACCAUGGAAGAGAUUUUAGAGAGGAGGAAGAGGACGAAGAGAAGAAGGAGUCUUAGGAACAGGUGGAAGAUAAAUAAGAACAAGUGAGAGAGAAAGAAAGAGAGAGAGAGAGAGAGAGAGAGAGAGAAAAGUACCAUUACGAUAAUUAGACUGCCACAUUACUAUGUCAAAUUAGCAUUAAUCUUUGAAUAGCAAGUUCAAGUCGAUUCUAAGAAAGUUCUUCUCAACGGUUUUUCAGAUUUUUUUGAUAUUAACGCUUUUUAAUAUGAAUUUACUAUACUUAUUUAAUCUUUUUUUUUCUACUGUUACUAUAAUUUUAGCCAAGUUCAAAACGAUAUUACAAAGUAUUUUCUUAAUUUUUUACAUUUGAUCUUACUUAUUUUGCCGUCUAUAUUUUUUAAUAUAUAAUAAAGUUGCUAUAUUUUUUGUUAUUUUGUUCUUCUUUGUAAUAUUUUCUUUUUAUAGGAGGAAAUUUCCUGAAUCGUUGGGAAAAGCAGUCAUGCAUUUUUUUAUUCGCAUGGGAAGAUUCGUUAGACAGAAAAAAUAAGAGUUAGAAGGAAGAUAGGAUGGUAGAUAUACGAUCGUUGGAUGGUCGUUCUACGUGGACACGCCUCGAGGCACUCACCUAACGUGAAUCCACGGUGCAUCGAUCUAAUAGAAUUUACGGAUCACAUGGGAUCCAUUCAAGGUCGACUGGCCUUUGCUUGAGGUCAACGACGCUUUUUUCCCUUCUAAUUUUUUUUUCUUUCGUUUGAGAGUGUCGAUUGAAAGAAAUAAAUUGUUACAUUUAUUGAGUGAUCUUUCAAAUUAUUGAACGAUUUAUAUUUUUAUAAUUAUUGAGAUAUUUUUUCACUGAUUGUAAAAAAAAAAAUUCAAUGUCUCUUGCAAUAAUUUAUUUGUUUGUUUAUUUAAUUUGUCAAAAACAUCUGUUAAAUACUGAUUAGAAAAUGACUUGACUGAUUAGAAAUCAAUAAUUGAAAAUCCAUUACUUCAAAAUAUUGUGAUUACAAUUGUUUAAAUAACUGUAUAACCUUCCGUAAUGAUAUCGAAAAGCAUAAAAUUCGAAGAAAACUAAUUUGUUUACAAGUGUCGUCCAGAAGAAAUUUGUAUAGAAAAUGUUUGCCGAGUUGUGACAUUGGAAGGUCUCUCAAGGUGUUGUGGACUACGUGCUGAAUACAUGAUUUUAUCCGACUGUUUAUAUUGAGUUCGACCGAGGAGAAGGUCGAAACAUUGAAUUAGUUAUUAUCGAGCUUGACACAAGGAAGGAAUAUUCCUUUCUGAAAUUCAAAUUUAAUUGUACGAUAGAAGAUGGUUAUUUUCUUUAAUUACGAUUAGACGAAGUAUGUUUAUAGGAAGGAAAUUCAUGUACUUACUUGGAGGCAACCGCAAAAAGACUUCUUCACUCUCGAUGGCAUCGUUUGACAGCGGCCGACAAACUCCUUCAGUGGUUGUGGACUCUUUACAGGACAGCUCGGAAUCCUCUGAAUACAAAAAACACGAUUUCAGCGUCUUUGAUAUUGACAGAGAUUAGUUUCAAGUUAAUAGAGUUUAGUCAUGCAAAGUGUUAAACUUUGUCAACCCGAUUGAAAAUUCAGGACUAAUUCGAAAUCGAUGUACUUGUUUGAAUUGGCAUCAUUCUUAUGUCAGGAUACGCUAUAGAGGAAGCAGAGAGAGAAAAUAAGGAAAAUGUCGUGUUGCGGAAUCGUUAACGUAACGUUACUUUUUCUUUCACUUUUCUACGAUAUACAAUGAGUCUAAAAAGUACACUUAUAGAUUUCUUUUUAAAUGCAUAUUUCUUUUAUUGUAUAUUUUUUCAUUAAGUAAUACAAUUCUAAUAUCAAUUUUUUUUUACUUUUUUCUUUUUUUUUGUACGAUUCUAGCAGAUGUAUCGAAGUGAUAAUAAAUUAUUAUUUAUGUUUUAUAUCGUAUCAUUUUAUUCAAGAUAUGCAUGGUUAUAAUAAUAUAUUACUUUAUAAAAAGAAUCUACAAUAUAAUAUGAAGAAACAAUACGACAUGCUCAUAUAAUAAAUUUUAUAAAGUUUGAAAAUUAUAAGCAGAUUUUUUGUCUAAUUCAUAGAUAUUUUAUAAUUAAUUAUAAAACAAAAAAGUAUAAAAUAAAUAAGUUUAAGAGAAUACUUUUUUUAGACAUACUAUAUACAUAUACAUAACAGAAAGAAAAUAUGAUUCGUCAUAACUAUAGUGCAAAGC